CCUACGGGUGGCAGCAGUGGGGAAUAUUGGGCAAUGGAGGCAACUCUGACCCAGCAACGCCGCGUGAAUGAUGAAGGUCUUCGGAUUGUAAAGUUCUUUUCUAACGGAAGUAGAAAGUGACGGUACCUUAGGAAUAAGCCUCCGCUAACGACGUGCCAGCAGCCGUUGUAAUACGUAGGAGGCAAGCGUUAUCCGGGAUGCAUGGGGGUAAAGGGUGCGUAGGUGGUUUGACAAGUUAGUAGCGCAAAUCAGGAGCUGAACUUCGGAACUACUACUAAAACUGUUGGACUUGAGUGCAGGACGGGCAAUCAGAAUUCCUAGUGUAGCGGUGGAAUGCGUAGAUAUUAGGAGGAACCCCAGUGGCGAAGGCGGAUUGCUAGACUGUAACUGACACUGAGGCACGAAAGCGUGGGGAGCAAACAGGAUUAGAUACCCUUGUAGUC
rnacentral:rRNA from 1 species